UACGGAGGGGGCAAGCGUUGUUCGGAAUUACUGGGCGUAAAGGGCGCGCAGGCGGCUGCUCAAGUCAGGCGUGAAAGGCCUGGGCUCAACCCGGGAAUUGCGCUUGAGACUGGGCUGGCUUGAGUGCGGGAGAGGAUGGUGGAAUUCCCAGUGUAGAGGUGAAAUUCGUAGAUAUCUGGAGGAAUACCGGUGGCGAAGGCGGCAUCCUGGACCGACAUUGACGCUGAUGAGCGAAAGCUAGGGGAGCAAACGGG
rnacentral:rRNA from 1 species